rnacentral:rRNA from 1 species
UACGGGGGCAAGCGUUGUUCGGAAUUACUGGGCGUAAAGGGCUCGUAGGCGGCCAACUAAGUCAGACGUGAAAUCCCUCGGCUUAACCGGGGAACUGCGUCUGAUACUGGAUGGCUGGAGUUUGGGAGAGGGAUGCGGAAUUCCAGGUGUAGCGGUGAAAUGCGUAGAUAUCGUAAGGAAGACCAGUGGCGAAGGCGGGUCUCUGGACAGUUUCCUGACGCUGAGGCACGAAGGCCAGGGGAGCAAACGGG